rnacentral:lncRNA from 1 species
CACUUGAGCCUGGGAGGCAGAGGUUGCAGUGAGCUGAGAUUGUGCCACUGCACUCCAGCCUGGGCAACAAAGCAAGACUCUGUCUCAAAAAAAUAAAAAUAAAAAAAAAAUCUUAGUUCCAUGGAAUUUUAAGCAUUGUUCCCCCUCUAACCUGUGUCUAAAGAAUUAAAAGAAUUUGGCCGGGUGCGGCAGCUCAUGCCUGUAAUCCCAACACUUUGGGAGGCUGAGGCAGGCGGAUCACGAGGUCAGGAGAUCGAGACCAUCCUGGCCAACACGGUGAAACCUCGUCUCCACUAAAAAUACCAAAAAAAUUAGCUGGGCAUGGUGGCACACACCUGUAGUCCCCUGUAGUCCCAGCUACUCGGGAGGCUGAGGCAGGAGAAUCGUUUGAACCUGGGAGGUGGAGGUUGCAGUGAGCCAAGAUCAUGUCACUGCAUUCCAGCCUGGGCAACAGAGGAAGACUCCGUCUCAAAAAAAAAAAAGAAAAGAAUUUUCACUUUUUGCAAAAUUAUCUUUUUUAAUGCACCCUUAAGUGUUUGACACAAAAGGAAUUGAGGGAACUUCUUAAUUUUAACCACAUCAUCACUUCACUUCUGAAUGUGAUCAUUAUCAGUGUUAGAUGCCUUUUUUUUUUUUUUUUUUUUUUUUUUUUUAAGGAGACAGGGCUCUCACUUUGUUGCCCAGGCUGGAGUUCAGUGGUGCAAUGAUAGCUCAUUAUCACCUCAAACUUCUGGCUCAAGCCAUCCCUCCGCCUCAGCCUCCUGAGUAGCUAGGACUGCAGGUGGGCACCAUCAUGCCUAGCUAAUUGUUAGAUCCUUUUUUUUUAUGUUCUGCAUUUUUUCAGUUAUUUUUACAUAUUUCUCUCUUGAUCCAUGCAGUUAUAGGAUAUAUCCUUAAUUUUAGAAAGUAAGGACUUUUCGACCAGGCGUGGCGGCUCAUGCCUAUAAUCCCAGCACUUUGGGAGGCCGAGGUGGGCAGAUCACUUGAGGUCAGGAGUUCCAGUCCAGCCUGGCUAACAUAGUGAAACCCCGUCUCCACUAAAAAAUAAAAAAUCAGCCCGGCAUGGCUGUGGGCGCCUGUAAUCCCAGCUACUCAGGAGGCUGAAGUAGAAUUGCUUGAACCUGGGAGGCAGAGGUUGCAGUGAGCCGAGAUGGUGCCAUUGCACUCCAGCCUGGGUGACAAGAGCGAAACUGCAUCUCAGAAACAAAGAUGCCUAGCUUUCACCUUGUUGAUGUUUUUCUAAAUUUUGGAAUAAUAAAUUUAUAUAGGAAUACUGCAAGAAUAGUCCAUUUUUUUCUGAUGUCCCAACAUCACCAAAUGUAUCCAUCACAAGUAGGAAUACAUGGAAACAUUAAUGCCAGCCACUAACCAUUCAUGUUUACCCAGUAGUCCCAAUAAUAGCUUUGUCACACAAAAACAUGAUUAUGUUGGCUGGGCACAGUGGCUCCUGUAAUCCUAGCAUUUUGGGAGCCCAAGGCAGGAGUUCAAGACCAGGCUGGGUAAUGUAGCAAG